rnacentral:misc_RNA from 1 species
AUGAGCCAUUUCGAGAAACUCGGGGAUUGUUGGUCUGGUUGCCUUCGGACAGCCGUUCCGGCGAGAACCGAUUUAAUCGCAGUGGCUUGAACCGGGCAAAAGUCGUAACAAGGUAGCUGUAGGUGAACCUGCUGCUGGAUCAUUACCCACUGAUCACAAUCACCACCUACCUGGCCGCCCGGUGCUGUGGGCGCAAACUUCCCUCGCGGGCAACCCAUUGCGUUGGGUGCCUAAACGUCCGUGUCCGGUCUACGGAGGCGAAGAUUCCUGGCUGGUCUUCCGAUUGGCUGCCACAGCACUGAUGGCCGAACGCCCUGUGGGCUUGCAUUGUGGGGUGCGUGUUUGGUGGCACGGUGAGCGAACGCUUCCCUCGCGGGUAACCCAUUGCGUUGGGUGCCUAAACGUCCGUGUUCGGUCUACGGAGGCGAAGAGUCCAGGAGACCCUAUUGCGUACGGGGGAAUCCGCAUCGUGUUGCCGGACGGGCACGCCCUCAGGGCACCGAACGGCUGCGUUGGCGUCUAUGCGUUGUUGAGCAGUUGUUGUGCACUUGUGUUGUGUUUUGGGUACAUGCAUGCCUUUGGAAACUUGCGCAUUGGUUCGCCCUCCGAAGGUGUGUCCAGAGCACAGUACUUGUGUGGUACGUCCGUGGCUGCGAUGAGACGGCGCGACAGGGUUCGGCCACGCGAGGCCGGGCCUAGACUUGAUGAGCCCCGAGCACGUUGGGCCGCCAACACCCUCUUUUUUCACUAAAAUUUUUUGACAAUGCACAUGUGUGUGCAGUGAGAAUAAAUUCUAGCUUUAUCGGUGGAUCACUCGGCUCGUAGGUCGAUGAAGAACGCAGCCAACUGCGAUAAGUAGUGUGAACUGCAGAAACCUUGAACACAGAACAUUCGAAUGCACAUUGCGCCAUUGGAGUGACAUCCUUUGGCACGCCUGGUUCAGGGUCGUUAUCCAAAAGCGCACAGCGUGUGCGUGUACAGGCUGCCCGAUCAACGUGUGCGAACAGACCGUUGUUCAGGCAUUGUGUGCAGUGCGCCUGGCGUGUGGUUGAGUAGCGCUGGCACGGACUUGUAUGCAUUCAGUUGCGUCCGUGUUCCUGAAAUUGGUUUAAGCGUUGCUUGGCUGCCGCUCGGGUAGCACCCAUCAUCCAUUUUCAACAUUUUCGACCUGAACUCAGACGUGAACACCCGCUGAACUUAAGCAUAUCAGAAGCGGAGGAAAAGAAACU